AGAUCUUAAGUGAUCAUUUGCUUUUUAACUCUCUGAAUUAAAUGCUUCUUACCUUGUUUUUCAGAUUAUCUGGGAAUUUCAGUCCAGCCUUGUUACCCGUUUGAGUGAACACUACAGGAGGUUCAAAAGCUUUCACACAGAAUGAGUUUAUCA
rnacentral:lncRNA from 1 species